rnacentral:rRNA from 1 species
AUAAAACAGGGGUUCCGCAUGGGGCUAUUUGUUAAAGAUUUAUUGGUUGCGGAUGGGCAUGCGUACCAUUAGGUAGUUGGUGAGGUAACGGCUCACCAAGCCAUCGAUGGUUAGGGGUUCUGAGAGGAAGGUCCCCCACACUGGUACUGAGACACGGACCAGACUCCUACGGGAGGCAGCAGUGAGGAAUAUUGGUCAAUGGUCGAGAGACUGAACCAGCCAAGUCGCGUGAAGGAUGACUGCCCUAUGGGUUGUAAACUUCUUUUACAAGGGAAUAAAAUGAGAUACGUGUAUUUUAUUGCAUGUACCUUGUGAAUAAGCAUCGGCUAACUCCGUGCCAGCAGCCGCGGUAAUACGGAGGAUGCGAGCGUUAUCCGGAUUUAUUGGGUUUAAAGGGUGCGUAGGUGGGCUGUUAAGUCAGCGGUGAAAGUUUGUCGCUUAACGAUAAAAUUGCCGUUGAAACUGGUAGUCUUGAGUAUAGAUGAAGUAGGCGGAAUGCGUGGUGUAGCGGUGAAAUGCAUAGAGAUCACGCAGAACUCCGAUUGCGAAGGCAGCUUACUAAGGUAUAA